GUACAGUGGAAUAAUCCGGAUUUAUUUAUGAUAAGCUAAGGACAAAAUUAUUUUGGGAUACAAAGUCGGGAUUCUUGACCUUCGAAUUUAUUUUGAGAUAUAAGUUGUGCAUGAAUUUAUUGGUAUGGAACAAUUAGGAAAAUUUGGGACCAAAAGUGAAAAAUUGGAAGAAGAAAAUCAUCCACAACUUCCAUGGUUGGCCCACACAAUUUUGUGUCAUCUUUUAAUUGGGACAACACAUUAAUGUGGGCCAAGGGAUAUUGUACACUCUUUAUAUUAUAUAAAAGAUGACUUCUAGUCAUUAUUCUUCAUUCACCACACUUGGAAAAAAAAGGGGCAAAGCUGAAAACCUCCAAGGAGGCUCACGGCCAGCAGCAACAAAGAUCAACUUCCAUUUCUUGUCCUCCAAAAAUUAUUUUGAUGAUGUAAACCCACUAUAUUGAGGUCCCUAAGUAGCGUGGAAGCAUCGUUGGAGCGAUCAACCCAUUAUUUUCAUCUUUUGGAAACCCUAGGCUAUUGGAAAGUUGAAGAAGGAAGACCUUGGGCAGCCCGAAUCAUAGGUUGGAUUUAGCUUGAGUUUGGAUCGUAUUGGAGAGCGUUUGAGGUACAGACGCACAGCCUGGUGAUCCACCUGUUUAGGACACCCUUUCUGCUAUUCGGAGUGCUCCUCUCUUUCCGGAGCUUAUACUUUUGGUAUAUAUAUUUAUUAGUGCAUUUGUAGAUAUUCGUUCAUGGGUACGGCGGGGCCCUGUCCCGUCAUAUGAUUCUGUCGGUCUGUUUAGAGGUCUGUGGACAUGUUUGUGGGUUAGGGUCUUUCUGUAUGAAUGUAUGUACAUGUCGUUUGGGCGAUCCCAUACGCCGAGGCGGCCGGUCCGCAUAUGUUGUUUGGGCGACCCUAUACGCCGAGGCGGCCGGUCCGCAUAUGUUUAUAUAUUGCUUGGUUAGCCCUGUGUGGCUUUCGUUGGUAUUUUCUGCGUGCAGGGUAUAUUGGAUAGUCCGUAAAACAAAGGAAACUCUGCCGAAAUUUUUCUGGAAAUUACCUAAAUUUGAA